rnacentral:misc_RNA from 1 species
AAGGAUAAUACAUAAAUUCAUCAUCUUCAGUUUUGAAAGACUUAGAUUGAAAAAAUA